rnacentral:rRNA from 1 species
UACGUAGGGUGCGAGCGUUGUCCGGAAUUAUUGGGCGUAAAGAGCUUGUAGGCGGUUUGUCGCGUCUGCUGUGAAAAUCCGAGGCUCAACCUCGGACUUGCAGUGGGUACGGGCAGACUAGAGUGUGGUAGGGGAGACUGGAAUUCCUGGUGUAGCGGUGAAAUGCGCAGAUAUCAGGAAGAACACCCCGUGGCGAAAGCGGCUCUCUGGAACGGUACUGACGCUGAGACGCGAAAGCGUGGGGAGCGAACAGG